rnacentral:lncRNA from 1 species
AGUAUUUAUGGGGGCCAGUUAAAGAGAGUUGAUAUUUACCUUCAUAGUUAGAUGGAAAUUAUGUUGGUGCCCAAAUUCCAUAAUCUUUUUGAAAGUUCUGAGGAGACGGAAAUGUAAAAUCAGUUAUGUAGUAAUGGGAACAGAAAGGACCAAGGAGCUAUACGUCAUAUGCCCCGAACAGUCCAAGCUACCUUCCAUCUGGCUAAUGGAAGUGACACAGGAAAGGACAAGGAAAGGUGUUUCUCUUUAGAAAGAAAAGGGCUGAGCAGUUCAUUACUGAUGUGGUAUAGAAUAGCCCCAGGACAGUUCUGCCUUGCUAUGGUCUUCUAGAAGUUAAGAGCAUCCAAGAACAACUGAAGAACCAAGUAUUAACUACUAUUAACUGCACAAUAAAGCUGGAUGAAAAU